UUACAUUUUGAGAUAGUAUGUUGCAGUGCAAACCAUUUAUAUUUGGAGAUCGUGUAUUAAUCAUGUAAAUGCCGAUAAAGCAUAUGUCAAUUGUCUUCUCAGAGUAUUCAAGUUUUGAAUUAAACAGAAGUCAUUAUAGUUAUUCUAAGUGUACUUGAAAAUUAAUGCGUGUUGACUGUUCGCGUAAAUAUGGUUUUAAUUCAUAAAAACGUGCAUGUUUCUUGUAAAUGUGGCUUUCUUUUUAUAUUUAACAAAUACAACCAUGUUUAUGUGUUUUAAAUCAUUUUUUAUUAGAUAAUCGGAAAUUGUUUUAAUUUCAUUGGCAACUG
rnacentral:lncRNA from 1 species